GUCUGAAAUACCGGAAGUGACACAACGAUUAGCCUAAUAGGGCUUUUGGAGAGUGAUGUCAGGAGAGGGGGCGUGGCCAGGAUUUUUGGUUGAGGCGCCAUGUUUCUGGACCGAACAAAGCGCUAGCGAAAAAGGAGCGAAAGUACACGGAUAACACCAGCUAUGUCUUUCCCCACCUGGAAGCAACAUGAGGCAGCUCAUGCAUCGGAUGUUACCAAAAGAAGGCGUCUAGUCUGGAUAGCAGCUGUGAGACGAGCUGAUAUCCAGUUUUCUUCCAUCUCCAAAUAUCUGUUGGUGUGCUCCAGACAUUUUCAUUCCGGUACUGCACUCUCAAAGACUGAAUGAACCAGCAUUGCAGCCAUGGGUCAUUGUGAGCAUCACAGGGAAGGUUGAGGCCGCCCACUGCACCUGUAUGGCCAGAGUCGUGGAGACCUGCAGCCAUGUCGCUGCUCUUCUUUUUAAAGUAGAAGCAACAGUGCGGAUCUGUGGCACAAGGGCUGUUACAGAUGAACUUGCAUACUGGGUUUUGCCUGGUAAUAUGACCAAGAUACAGCCAGAGGUUGGCCAUAAGAUAGACUUCUCCUCUUCAGCUGCCCAAAACAAGGCUCUUGAUCAAAACAUAAACAGACCAUCCAUAUUGAAAGGUAAAAGGAGCCGUCCUCAAAAAAGAAAAAUCCCACCUGCUACUGUGGAGGAGUUGUCACUGCUAUUGGAUACUUUGCUGGAACACAGUAAAGCUGUGGGUUGUGGGAAUGACCCAUAAUGUUUUAUACAGGGGUCUAGAUUUAUGCCUGAAGUGAACUGCCAUGUAAAUAAUUUGCAUUUACUGAAUAUGUACUGACUGAGUACCACUGUUCAAAAGUUCAAUAAAGAAACAAACUAA